rnacentral:rRNA from 1 species
UACGGAGGGUGCAAACGUUGCUCGGAAUCAUUGGGCGUAAAGCGCACGUAGGCGGUCUCGUAAGUCGGGUGUGAAAGCCCGGGCUCAACCUGGGAAUUGCAUUUGAGACUGCGUAGCUAGGGUGCGGAAGAGGGAAGCGGAAUUUCCGGUGUAGCGGUGAAAUGCGUAGAUAUCGGAAGGAACACCAGUGGCGAAAGCGGCUUCCUGGUCCACGACUGACACUGAAAGCGAAAGCCAGGGAGCAAACGGG